rnacentral:rRNA from 1 species
GAUGAACGCUGGCGGCGUGCCUAAUACAUGCAAGUAGAACGCUGAAGGAGGAGCUUGCUCUUUCCGGAUGAGUUGCGAACGGGUGAGUAACGCGUAGGUAACCUGCCUGGUAGCGGGGGAUAACUAUUGGAAACGAUAGCUAAUACCGCAUAACAGUAGAUAUUGCAUGAUAUUUGCUUGAAAGGGGCAAUUGCUCCACUACCAGAUGGACCUGCGUUGUAUUAGCUAGUUGGUGAGGUAACGGCUCACCAAGGCGACGAUACAUAGCCGACCUGAGAGGGUGAUCGGCCACACUGGGACUGAGACACGGCCCAGACUCCUACGGGAGGCAGCAGUAGGGAAUCUUCGGCAAUGGACGGAAGUCUGACCGAGCAACGCCGCGUGAGUGAAGAAGGUUUUCGGAUCUUAAAGCUCUGUUGUAAGAGAAGAACGAGUGUGAGAGUGGAAAGUUCACACUGUGACGGUAUCUUACCAGAAAGGGACGGCUAACUACGUG